rnacentral:rRNA from 1 species
AUUGAACGCUGGCGGCAGGCCUAACACAUGCAAGUCGAACGGUAACAGGAAGAAGCUUGCUUCUUUGCUGACGAGUGGCGGACGGGUGAGUAAUGUCUGGGAAACUGCCUGAUGGAGGGGGAUAACUACUGGAAACGGUAGCUAAUACCGCAUAACGUCGCAAGACCAAAGAGGGGGACCUUCGGGCCUCUUGCCAUCGGAUGUGCCCAGAUUGGAUUAGCUAGUAGGUGGGGUAACGGCUCACCUAGGCGACGAUCCCUAGCUGGUCUGAGAGGAUGACCAGCCACACUGGAACUGAGACACGGUCCAGACUCCUACGGGAGGCAGCAGUGGGGAAUAUUGCACAAUGGGCGCAAGCCUGAUGCAGCCAUGCCGCGUGUAUGAAGAAGGCCUUCGGGUUGUAAAGUACUUUCAGCGGGGAGGAAGGGAGUAAAGUUAAUACCUUUACUCAUUGACGUUACCCGCAGAAGAAGCACCGGCUAACUCCGUG